UUGUGGAAAAGCAGCAUCACUUACCCCGUAACCUCAGCCAUGCUGAACACAACUCCAUCUACAGCCUCAGGAACAACUCUGAGAUCAUAAUAAAAAAGGCUGACAAAGGAGGUGCUGUCGUCAUCAUGAAUAAAUUGGAAUAUGACCAAGAGGCUGCUAGACAGCUCUCUAACACCACAUUCUACAGGCCAUUAUCCUCUGAUCCCACUGAGGAUUACCUAAAGAAACUACAGCAUCUGCUAAAAAAACUCCCUGACAAAGCACAGGAACAAAUCUGUACAGACACAUGCCUAGAAUCCCAACCAGGGGUAUUCUGUUUGCCAACCAAGAUCCAUAAACCUGGAAAUCCUGGACACCCCAUCAUCUCAGGCACUGGCACCCUAACUUCAGGAUUGUCUGGUUAUGUGGACUCUCUCCUCAGGCCCCACGCUACCAGCACUCCCAGCUAUCUUUGAGACACCACUGACUUCCUGAGGAAACUACAAUCCAUCGGUGAUCUUCCAGAAAACACCAUCCUAGCCACUAUGGAUGUAGAAGCCCCCUACACCAAUAUUCCACACAAAGAUUGACUACAAGCUAUCAGGAACAAUAUCCCCAAUAAUGUCACAGCUAACCUGGUGGCUGAACUUUGUGACUUUGUCCUCACCCACAACUAUUUCACUUUUGGGGACAAUAAAUACCUUCAAGUCAGCGGCACUGCUAUGGGUACCCGCAUGGCCCCACAGUAUGCCAACAUUUUUAUGGCUGACUUAGAACAACGCUUCCUUAGCUCUCGUCCCCUAACAGUCCUACUCUACUUGCACUACAUUGAUGACAUCUUCAUCAUCUGGACCCAUGGAAAAGAAGCCUUUGAGGAAUUCCACCAUGAUUUCAAUAAUUUCCAUCCCACCAUCAACCUCAGCCUAGAUCAAUCCACACAAGCGGUCCAUUUCCUGGACACUACUGUGCUAAUAAGCGAUGGUCACAUAAAUACCACCCUAUACUGGAAACCUUCUGACCGCUAUACUUACCUACAUGCCUCCAGCUUCCACCCAGAACACACCACACAAUCCAUUGUCUACAGCCAAGCUCUAAGAUACAACCUCAUUUGCUCCAAUCCCUCAGACAGAGACAAGCACCUACAAGUUCUCUAUCAAGCAUUCUUAAAACUACAAUACCCACCUGCUGAAGUGAAAAAACAGAUUGACAGAGCCAGACGAGUACCCAGAAGUCACCUCCUACAAGACAGGCCCAACAAAGAAAAUAACAGAACACCACUAGCUGUCACCUUCAGCCCCCAACUAAAACCUCUCCAGCGCAUCAUCAAAGAUCUACAACCUAUCCUGAAAGAUGAUCCCUCACUCUCACAGAUCUUGGGAGACAGACCUGUCCUCGCUUACAGACAACCCCCCAACCUGAAACACAUACUCACCAGCAACCACACAUCACUGAACAAAAACACUGACCCAGGAACCUAUCCUUGCAACAAAGCCCGAUGCCAACUCUGUCCACAUAUCUAUUCAAGUGACAUUAUCAUAGGACCUAAUCACAUCAGCCAUACCAUCAGGGGCUCAUUCACCUGCACAUCUACCAAUGUGAUAUAUGCCAUCAUGUGCCAGCAAUGCCCCUCUGCCAUGUACAUUGGCCAAACCGGACAGUCUCUAUGCAAAAGAAUUAAUGGACACAAAUCUGACAUCAGGAAUCAUAAUACUCAAAAACCAAUGAGAGAACACUUUAACCUGUCUAGUCAUUCAAUGACAGACCUGCGGGUGGCUAGUUUACAACAGAAAAGCUUCAAAAACAGACUCCAACGAGAGACUGCUGAGCUGGAAUUGAUAUGCAAACUAGAUACAAUCAACUUAGGCUUGAAUAAGGACUGGGAAUGGCUGAGCCAUUACAAACAUUGAAUCUCCCCUUACACCGAGGCAGCGUGAGGCUGACAAGCUGCAAUGGGAACUUCAAGAGGAGAGCAGGAGGAGAGAGAACCUGCGCAGAAUAGCUGAUGCUACGGAGAAGAGAAGUUGGAGAAACUGCCCCCUUCAUCCAGGAGGCGCUCUACUGUUUAGUCCUUGCCAGUGCAGCUACAGUAAAAUUCGGUCUAUAUGUCCGGGGAUAGAGCUGAAAUCCUCAUGGGACAUCUCCAUGAAGCUCUCCUGGAGGUAAUUGGAAAGCCUUUGCAUGAGGUCCUUGGGAGAGCGGCCUUGUUGUGUCCUCCGUAGUAGGAAACGUUCCCGCGCCAGGCUAGCAGCAAGUACUCCGGGAUCAUUGCCUUGCAGAGCAUGGCGGCAUACGGCCCUGGUCUUUGCAGGCUUUCACGAAGCAUGCGUUCUCUGUCGCUCUCUGAAAUCCGCAUCAGAGUGAUGUCGCUCAUGGUGACCUGCUUUGAAUUAGGGGAAUGUUAGUAUUGGGACUGCUUGCCUGUUCCUUUACAGAACUGUAACCGGCGGUUUACAGCCAUGUGGUGGAGGCGGGAGAGGGGCAGUAUACAGGGAUCUUUCCUGGGGACAGCCACGAGGGGGUGGGACAGGGGCAGAGUUCAUACUUGUUGGAUUGCUGGCAGCAGGAACUGGCCAACGCUAGGAGCAUUGCUUUGAACGUGAAAGUAGGGCAGUGCUAUUAUUACAGUUUUAAGCUGCCACAAGUCUACGGCUUACCAUGUCAGCCUGCUACCCAAAUUCUGCUGUCCAGCCGCGCUUGUCUGAUCUGCACUGCAAGACCCCAGGCACUGAAUGCGAAGGCCGAAAAUUAGACCUUGUCCUGAGUGCUCAUGUGAUAGGUGCUGUGCAUGGUCUUGUUCACAGAGAAAGACUAUGUUCUUUGUUCACCAAAAAAAAAAUUAUCUUUCUGAGGAAUUCACUCCCUUUUUCCCAUCCCACAGCUGUGACUGUCUCCCGACCUACCCUGGCAUCACACUCCCAGAGGCUGGCGCAGAUUAGGCGUAGAAAGAAAAGGACAUGGUAUGACAUGUUCUCAGAACUUAUGGGCUGGUCCCGAGCCGAGGCAACCCAGCAGACCCAGUGGAGGGAGAACAUGUUGCAAUACCAGCGAGCACACAGCGAACGGGAGGAGAGGUGGCGGCAGGAAGACCAGCAGGCGACUCAAAAGCUGCUUGGACUAAUGAGGGAGCAAACAGACACGCUCCAGCGCCUUGUGGAUGUUCUGCAGGACCGGAGGCAGGAGGACAGAGCCCCCAGAGCCCUGCUGCAGUCUAUCUGUAACCACCCUCCCCCGCCACAAAGUCCCAUACCCCCCCUCACCCAAAGUACCAAGAAGGAGGGGCGGCAGAGUCUGUGAAAACUGUCACUCCACCCCUGCAGAUUGCUCAAGUACCAGAAGGCUGUCAUUCCCCAAAAUUUGAUAAGUCCUUUCCUUCCCGCCUCACCCAAGCCCCCAUCCCAGUUUCAUCCCCUAACUGUGUAGUUGCUAAUAAAAAAUACGUUUGUUAA